UUUAAAGUCUGGCCUGCUCAAUGAUUAAAUUUAAAUAGCCGCAGUAUUUUGACUGUGCAAAGGUAGCAUAAUCAUUAGUUUUUUAAUUGAAAGCUAGAAUGAAAGGUUUGAUGAAAAAAUAUCUGUCUCAAUAUUAGUGAAUUAAAAAUUUAUUUUUAAGUAAAAAAGCUUAAAUUUUUUAAAAAGACGAGAAGACCCUAUAGAGUUUUAUAUAAUUUAUUAAAUUGUAUUUUUUAGAAUAUAAAAUUUUAAUUUAAAAAUUAUAUUUUAUUGGGGUGAUAAAAAAAUUUAUUUAACUUUUUUAAGAAUUAACAUAAAUAAGUGAGUUUAUGAUCCUAAAAUUUAGAUUAUAAGAAAUAAUUACCUUAGGGAUAACAGCGUAAUUUUUUUAAAGAGUUCAAAUCGAAAAAAAAGAUUGCGACCUCGAUGUUGGAUUAAAGAAAAUUUUUAAUGUAGAAGUUAAAAUUAUAGGUCUGUUCGACCUUUAAAUCUUUACA
rnacentral:rRNA from 1 species